GUUUGUUUUUCUUAAUUGAAGCUAGUUUUAGUUAAAGUUAUUUAUAUAUAAUGAAUCCUCAUGGGUUCAACACCAUCUUCUUGAAGGAUAAUUAUGAAACACAUACAAAUGCAAACAACAGUAUUAUUAUGUUGCUUUUAGAAACAAAUUUGCAAAAUGGUGAUGGUUUUGCCGCUUCACCAAAGAACCGUCGUCGCCAAUAGUGUUGAUUCUGCCACUCUUCAAUUUCCACAAAAUUCUAUCAAUUUCCCCUAUCACAUUCUGCAAAAUUCUAAAGAAAUUACAGGAAACUUGUGGUUACCUCCAAGGAACCGCCACCACCUGCUCCCCGCUACUCUUCUGGUUUUCGAUGAUUGCAGCCGGAGUUUUAUCUGCAUGUAAAUAGAUGGAUCUACAUAUAGCGAUGGCGAUGGCGGUGGCGGACCCGUAACUUAUGGAAGCAUCGAU
rnacentral:lncRNA from 1 species